rnacentral:tmRNA from 1 species
GGGAUUGACCGGAUUCGACGGGAUGAUUGUUUGCAGUGUAAGCAUGUGGUGCGUUGGGGGUUUGCACCUAAAUCUCAACCUUCAAAACCAUAAGAGGCGAAUCUAACUACGCCAUGGCUGCCUAAUCGGAAUGAUUAAGUAAUUGCCAUCUACCCCGAAUGUCUCUAUCUGAGCCGAUGUUCGUCAGGGGUAGUCGACCCGCUCAGGUAUGGCCCCGAAGUGCCGAUGCAGGGGUUUAUUACAAAGUUGGAUAAGGAGCGACGUUGGCCAGGGUAGAGUAGUGAUCGCAUCGCCGGACGGGGGUUCGAUUCCCCCCAAUUCCACAA